GAGCGUACCCGUUGGGACCCGUAAGAUGGUGAACUAUGCCUGGCCAGGACGAAGUCGGGGGAAACCCUGAUGGAGGUCCGUAGCGAUUCUGACGUGCAAAUCGAUCGUCGGAGCUGGGUAUAGGGGCGAAAGACUAAUCGAACCAUCUAGUAGCUGGUUCCCUCCGAAGUUUCCCUCAGGAUAGCUGGUGCUCGAACGAGUCUCAUCCGGUCAAGCGAAUGAUUAGAGGCCUUGGGGCCGAAACGACCUCAACCUGUUCUCAAACUUUAAAUGGGUGAGAUCUCCGGCUUGCUUAAAACAUUUUUGAAGCCGCGAGUUUUAUUUCUUGG
rnacentral:rRNA from 1 species